UUAUAUAAUUAACUGAAAUGUAUCUUAUUGUUAGAACAUGUGUAAAAGAAAUGCUGAAAAUCGGAAGAAACAAACAGUUCCACACAACAAACUGUUUGAAGUCUAGACGCAGCAUGGUACACGAGAUAGAUCUUCCAAAGAACAAGGCCUUUUUCGAAUAAGCCAAUUCAUUUGGGACCCUGCAGAUCCACUCUUUUUCCUAUUCAAAGAUCAGCCCCCUGGCUCUGUGUUUUCACAUCGAGAAUUAUUUGCAGAUGAAGAGAUGUCAAAGGGGCUUCUUACUUCCCAAACAGACCCUCCUACACCGGUGACUCCAAACCUAAUUCUAGAAGAAGGGCUGAAAUGAUGACUGAGACAGGGAGAAAACCUGGACGAGCACAACUUUAUCUUGCUACACAUACGAAAAAAGAUAGAUCAUAUGUAAAUGAGGAGACAAAAGAAAUAUGUCCAAGUGAUGCAGUUAGUAGACCCGUUUCACAGACGGAUGCAAGAAGAUCUUCUGGCGCUAGUAAUCUCAUUGACAUCCAUUGAGAUUCAUUUUAAUUGAAGUAGAUGUAUUAGGACAAUGUAAUACCUGACUAAUAUAGACGAUUAACUAUGUUCUAACUUAGUUGAUGACAUAUGAUACUACUCUGUCACAA